rnacentral:rRNA from 1 species
UACAGAGGUCCCAAGCGUUGUUCGGAUUCACUGGGCGUAAAGGGUGCGUAGGCGGUCGGGUAAGUCUGAUGUGAAAUCUCACAGCUUAACUGUGAAACUGCAUUGGAUACUAUCCGGCUCGAGGAAUGGAGGGGAGACUGGAAUACUUGGUGUAGCAGUGAAAUGCGUAGAUAUCAAGUGGAACACCAGUGGCGAAGGCGAGUCUCUGGACAUUUCCUGACGUGAGGCACGAAAGCCAGGGGAGCAAACGGG